GCGAAUCCCCACGAACGUGUGAAAAAAGUAGGGAGUCUGCAAGGAAAAAUACCCUAUUUUUCUGCUCGCACGAGGAGAAAAAUUCAGUUUGGCAAAUGAAAUUGAACACAAUAUACGUGCUAUUUGUGUCUAAUUACUCGAGUCGAGAGCACUUUCGUCGGUCGCUUUUUCGGGUCGUUUCAGUUCGGCUGCGGAACGUGGAGUGGACCGAGGCGAUCGAACGUCGUCCAGGGUUUUCCCCUCUCCGUCGCCCAAGCUCCGGAAGCUCUUAAGUUUUUCUUCGAGGGCGAGGGUGGCCGACGACGGGUGGUGGAGGGGUCGAGGAAACGGAGGCGAUUGGACGCUGCCGGAGAAAAGAAAGCACCCCCUCAAUCCUUGGAUGGCUGGAAGACGCGGAUCAAUGAGACCCAGCGCCAAGAUACGCCGCGUCACAGCUGACUUUCACACUUGGUUCGGAAAUGGCUGUGUAAUGGAUAGAGGCAGGAGAUAUCAGGAGAAAGACAACCUAACCGAAAAGCCAAAUAUGAACAAAUAUUCCGCGUUCAUGCAAUCAUUCCUCUUAUCAUCUACGCCACAUGCUGGAAAAAGUACCUCAUCUUCUCUCCAACGUCAUACAUAAAAUGGUGGAGCGAGCAAAUUUACAUUUCCGUGCCAAAAUCAUGAGACGACUCGGAAGAUAACGACAUCUCGCUGACAAGAUCCUAUUACUAAGGGAUGCCGGAGAUCUCCAGGCACAGGGAUGACAGCGAUAUCGCGGCGACGGGCCCGGAGCUCCCUCCGGUUAUCACGUAUCCCGACGGGCCGGCACCGGCACCAGCGGAGCGCACUUUAAAUUGAGCAUGCAGAAGAUGAUUUCAAAACCACCAAGCUGUAAGUGGAGGAAUUUUGCUAAGCUGACGCUUUACAUUAACUGAAACGAAUUUCGGUAUUGACUGAAGGCUCAGCCGGAGAUAGGUUUCAAGCAAACAGCACCAUGCCAAGCAAAAUGCCACUAUUCAUGCAAUUUUACAGCGACGUGAUCGUUUUGCAUGGUGAGAAAAUUGAUAGAAAGAAGGAUGUCCAGAAAAAGCCCUUGAGGAUUUGAAAAGGCUAAUGCGGCCGCUAAACGUUGACCAACAGAAAAAAUAUCGAACGACGUUUGUUUAUACAUACUUAAUGAAAAAAAAGGCCCUUCUCAAUGGUAUAAUUCAUCGACUAAAUUUGAUCAGCAUCACUUUAGUGACAUGAUGAUGAUCGGGUUAUGAUCGGCGAGUGACCCUUGACUCGCCCUUGGACGCCCGUGGGAACGACCCGUGGUCCGCAAGACGCAGCAUCCACCUGGCGCGGUGGACCGGUGAGUGGACAGGACACUGGACACUGGACACCGGACACCGCUCCGCGCAUCGGCCCGUCAGGCGCAACCCUUUUUUUCGGUCAAAUCAUGGCAGCCUACAUCAAGUGCACUGCCGUGCUAAGGAAAAACACCGUAUGAGCCCUCAGACGUUGCCAAGUUUCCUUC